rnacentral:rRNA from 1 species
UACAGAGGGGGCAAGCGUUGUUCGGAAUUACUGGGCGUAAAGGGUUUGUAGGUGGCCGGCUAAGUCCGACGUGAAAUCCCUCAGCUUAACUGGGGAACUGCGUCGGAGACUGGUCGGCUUGAGGGUCGGAGAGGAACGCGGAAUUCCAGGUGUAGCGGUGAAAUGCGUAGAUAUCUGGAGGAACACCGGUGGCGAAGGCGGCGUUCUGGACGGCUACUGACACUGAAAAACGAAAGCCAGGGGAGCAAACGGG